rnacentral:misc_RNA from 1 species
ACAAGAGAUAGGUGAUAACAUAAAUAUUUGGGUUUAUUAUUCCUUCUCCCCAACACCCACAGUCCCAGCAAACAAAUGCAGGUAUGUUGUCAUUGUCAGGAUUCAAGCACAGGACACCGAUGUGUUGCAAUGUAUGUCCAGCACAUUGUUAUUAUUGUUAUUACCAAUGAAGGUAAGAAAAAAUAUUAUAGGAGAAUCAUCACUUAACCUCCUUGCUUCUGCGCUUCA